rnacentral:piRNA from 1 species
UUGUAUUGUUUGUGGUGUGAGCCUGCGC